ensembl:lncRNA
AGUACUUUGAAGCUCCUUACUGGCACUCCCUAGAAAUGCACUGUUUCUGUUCAGAGAAUUUCUACUCUUAAGAAAGUCCUAAGGCAUAAAUUUACUCAAAUUAUGUAAUUACAGCAGGCUUCAUAUGGAUUUUAUUCAACUGGAUCUUUUUCUUUGCAAGUAUAUUUAGCCUUGCUGUUGAAUCAAAAGAAAUAGAAAAGCAUUAGCCAUGUGCCAGUCCAAGCUCUAGUAACGCCUCUGGGAGAAUUUGACUCAAUAGAGAUUCUUCCUUAUAUCCAGCCCUAUGAUUCACUAAAUAUGAUAAUAUUAUACAUACAUAGCAGCCUUAUUAUACUGUGUAAUUAAAUUUUAAAGGGACAGAAGACUGCAGAUGCACAUGCUCACAUUUGCAGAGUAAAACCUGCUGUCGCCCUUUCGCCCCAUACAGCCUUACUUGCCAUGCAGAGACAUUUAGAGAAAAAUGUGUGUACAUAUCUGAAGAUACCUUUUCUUUCCACAAACAACAGAUGAAAUUUGAAGUUGCAGAACAAUAAGUCAUCGAGAUUUCUGUCUCACGUUUUACUGCACAUGAACAUAUAGAAUAUCAAUAAUUGUUGUAGUAAAGACUGAAAUAACUGCUAUGUUACACUGGGUUAAACUCUGAGCAUCAGAAGUUUAUUUUUGUUCUGUUUUAAUAUAUUUAAAUGAGGGAAAUACAUAUGACAGGUAAAAUCUCUUUGGCUUUCACUGUCUGUGUUUCUUAUGCCAAGGCCUUUAGUGUAGUAAGGUUGUGAUUACAUUGUUUCUUGUUCUGUCUAGACAUAUGUGCAAUAUAUACAUUGUACAUAAAUGGGCUCAAGCUAAUUAUUUUUAAAUAACGCAUAUGCUUUUAAAAAUAGCAAGCAGAAAUGGAACUGCCUAAAUAUACUGUGGGUCACGUUCUGUUUUUCCCCAGGCAUUAAAACACCGUCUGAUCUUUUCUAGAAAACAUUGUCCCGGGGGGGGGGGGGGCAAAGUAGAGGGAAGAUUUACUCCUGUGCUGUUCUGUGUUCAUCACAGUCACAGAGCUCCAGGUUGAACAGAACCUCAUCUGUUGAACAUGAAGUUGUAGCCUCAAAGGAUUUUUUUUUUAUUUAUUUUUUGGUGUUUAAACGUGAUGUUUGGACACAGACUUGUAUUCAUUACCAUGGAACAAAGUGUUUGUCACACAGAUGAUAUAUAAGUUUGCAAAAACUGAUUAUUUAUAAAGCAAAACAUAACACAUAUUGUUUCAUAAUGCAUAAGGAGGUUUUUGCAGGAGGAAAACUGUAGUUGCUGGUGGCAUCACAGCAAAGUCAGCACUUUAGGUUCAGAUAGGUACUUCCUUCAGGGACUGAAGGCACUGGCAAGGGCAAAGUCACUGCAGUCACAUGGAAGUGUUGGAAAAGGUGUGAAGCACCAAGAUCUCAGUGCUGCUGUCACUUAGCCAUGGGAGGCUGAUACUCCCUGCUGCUUCAAGGAGAGCCUGGGCUCCUUCCAUUACUUUUUUCAUUCCAUUACUGAAGUGGACCUGACUUUUCCUCAAAUAAUUUCACUGUUAAAAGCAUCCUACAGCAACAAGAGAAUUUCAAAGAUUAGCAAAAGAGCAAUAGGCUGAAUUACAAGGAGCUGGCAAGCCCAGUGUAGUGAAUUUUGCACAUCCAACCACACUGGAUGAGUAGCUGCCCCAGGAUCAGAGAGCAGAAGAGUGGCAGAGGUUGGAGGAGGAGCCAGAAACCCUAAUUUGCAGCUCUCUGCCCAUCGCAGAGAUGAAAACGCUUUACAUAUUCAUUUUUGUAACUCAUUCCUAUUUCCCAUGUAACACAUUAAAAAAAAAAAAAAGGAAAAAAGUAUAAACAUUUAUGGAUUUUAAUUGAAAGGCAUGAAUAUAAAACAGCAAUGAGAGUGUUCAUCGCUGCGGUUCAGACUCCAUUCUCUCUGUCACCCAAAAAAGGCACUGAGUGAGGAGCCCAAGGCACGCUGCCAAGCGUGUUCACUCUCUAAGGCUUUUUCCUAUGGAGAGUUGGAAGGGAGGAGUUUGAGUUUUCCCCACGUGUUAGUUGUUUAUUUGACUAUCUACGAUUGACAUUGUGUCAGAUGGUUAAUGAAUGAAUCUGGUUUUAUGGCUUUUGCACGUGUUCCUAGAGGUCACUGUAGGCAUAUUUUCACAAAUUAGAAAAAUAAAUAAAUUAAUUAAACUUAUUUUCUACUGGGAACCUAAGCACCUGAAAUAACAACUAUUUUCCCCAUGUAUGUAGUUGUGCUCUGCCAGGAGGCAUUUUUCCCUGCUUCUUGGCUGAAAAACUGUUCUGGCCAUUAGGUUGCAAUCAAGUGCUGCUGAGUGACAAUAAUUUUAUUAGCUCUCAUGUACGCAGAUAGUCACAAAGCUACCAGCUACUUCCAAAAUGCACUUUUUAAUUCAUAGAAUCAUAGAAUGGCUAGAGCUGGGAGGGAUACCAAAGCCCACCCAGUUCCAACCCCCUGCCAUGGGCAUGGCUGUCCUCUACCAGCUCAGGCUGCUUAGGGCAGCCCAUCCAGCCUGGGCUUGAAUGCCUCCAGGAAUGGAGCACCCACACCUUCUCUGCUCACCUGCCACACAGUGCCAGCUACCAUAAUGCCUUCCCACUUGAGGCCAAUCAGUGGGGCUGGGUGGUCAGGCAAUGGUGGCCUUCAGUGAAAAAUACAGAGAUUUAUUUAUUUGGGGAGAGGGAGACAGACACAUCUUCUAUGUUUAUUUUUCUUCAGAGAAGAAAAAACAAAACAAGUAAAAUACUUCUUUUCAAUCUUAUGGAGAUAAAUAUGAAAAGAUAUUAAUAAACAUGUAUUUGCUACAAAUCAGAAACCUUCAAAAUGUUUAAUUGAAGAAACCUGACUGUUGGGUGUCACCAGAGACUUCAUGGGUUUGCUAGUGAAUAAGCACUUAGGAGAACUGAUGGCUUCAUCACAUAGCUCCAAUGCCAUGGCCAGGCCCAGGUGUGUGCCAAGGUGUGUUGCUCUUACAUGGUGAGGUUCUGGUAGCAGAGGAGCUGCAGGAGAAUCCUCUAGUGAGCAGAGCCCAGCAGUGUCCCAUGGCAUGGAGCCGUGUUGGGGUUGUUCUGGGCGAGCUGCAGGCUGUGGGAAGCCCACAGGGAGUCAGGAAGGAUGGUGUGGGAGGGACCCAUGUGGAGAGGGGGCUGAGAGUAGACAUGGAGAGGUGUCAGAGAUGGAUGGUUAUGGACUGACCACAGGACUCUCCUCUUGGGCUUUCUUCUCUUUGGCUAUGUCAUUCUCAAACAGGUGUGUCUGGGAUGACACUGCAAAAAAAAAUCAUUUCUUAGAUAGUAAAAUAACACCUCUUGUGACUUAUAUUCACAUUAGCACAUCCCAGAAUUAAACCAUAUUUUCUUCCCUUCAGCUCAGACCCAUACUAAGUUUGUGUAACUCUCUGGUCACAUUUUAUAGACAACUAUAUAAGACAUUCACAUGCUGUAAAAUACUCGCUUUUUAAAUCUCAUUUUCUACAUCAUUAGUAAAGGAAGCUUGAUAUUUCUUAAAACUGAGAUUUUAGUAUAUAUUAUGUGUAUACACAGCUGCAUCUUGGGUGAAAGAAUGGCAAGAAACUCUUCUUCCCUCAAUUAUUUCUUUACCAUCCUCAUCUGCCUUUUGUGUUCUUCCUCACAGAUUUCAAAUCACAGUGCUUUCUCCAAACAUGUAGGUCUUCCUGGGAGGGCAGAGGAUCUGCAGCACAUUCUUGAGGUGAACAGUUAUCCAGUUCAAUCAAUUAAUCUGUCUCUUUUUCCUUGCUCGUUUAAUUACCACUGUGAAAAAGCAGGGGGAAUUAAAUCACAAAAUAACCAUUCAGAUAACAUGAUGGAUCUAAUUGAAGUCUUUGUAAGUGAUCGGAUCCUGGGGUAAAGCUGGAGCAGCCUCAUCCCACCCAGUUGUGUGCUGGCAGUACUCACUGUACUGGCUGCUGACUUUGGAAGAGCAUUUCUUCAAGAAGACCAACAUUUUUUGCCUAUGUGGCUCAAAAGCAGGCCUCUCACACAGCUGGAGAAACCUGGCAGCAGUGGUCUCCAGAGGAGGAAGGGGCACUGCUACAUGAAGAGUAGGGCAGCCAUGGCUGAGAUGGUCACUUGGGGGCAGAGGGAAAGCCGGGAUGAUGGAAACAUCCUCAUCAAGCAGUGCUGAGUGAAAACACUGAUAUUUUUCCCUAUUUCUCAUAUUUCUCAUUCUACCAGCACACUGCCCGUCCUGCCCUGCAGCAGGCCUCAGGCCACCCUGCUCUGGCAGGAGGUGCCCUCUGCAUGUACCUCGAGAACAGCCUCCUAGUCUGGGCUUGGUUUGGGGCUAGAACUGCUGCACCUUCAGGAUCCAGCAGCUCUGCCUGCCCUUCACAGCCAUCUGGGAUGAGGUGAUGGAACAGCAAGUGCCAUGGCCCUAAGCAGCUGGACAGGGCAGGGCAGGCCCAGCACAGAUACAGUGCGCAGCUCCACACUGCUAACCUGCCACCAUUUUUGUCACCCUUCAUAGAGUGUUCAAGAAGAAAUCAACCCUCCCAUUGCUCUUCCCUUCC